GAUGAAGAACGUAGCGAAAUGCGAAAAGUAAUGUGAAUUGCAGAAUUCAGUGAACCAUCGAAUCUUUGAACGCACAUUGCGCCCGCUGGAACUCCGGCGGGCACGCCUGUCCGAGCGUCAUUUCAACCCUCAGGCCCCCCUUCGCGGGCGGGCCUGGUGUUGGGGCCCGGCCGCUACCCUGCGGCCGUCCCCUAAAUCCAGUGGCGGCCUCGCCGUGAUCCCUUGCGUAGUAAUGCACCUCGCACCGGAGAGCGCCGUGGCCACGCCGUAAAACCCCCAAUUUUCAAUGGUUGACCUCGGAUCAGGUGGGAAUACCCGCUGAACUUAAGCAUAUCAAAAGCGGAGGA
rnacentral:misc_RNA from 1 species